AAGGGACAUGCUCCACCGGAGACAUUUUGAUAUUGGAGUCACUCCUGUCUUUUGUGCAACACCACACCACUGGAAACGAACAAACACCCAUUUUUUUAGUGCACCUUCAGUGCGGUCUAUUGGAACUCCAUCAAUAUUCAAUGGGAUACCAACUUGGAGCUUCAGGAGAUGUUUGAUGCAGUGAAGUCUUCAUGGCCACACCCAUUGUUCAAUGCAAUCAAAGUCCCGGACGCCUGGAACAUUUGGAAACAAAGGAACAGAUGCUACUUUGACAAGGUUGCUGCAUCCCUGUAUGAUUGGAAAAGAGCACUCAGAGCUGACUUGGAAAAUCUCAAAUUCAGAGUUAAUCCUAAAUUGGUCUCCUUUCUUGAUAGCUUCAUCCCAAACAUAUCUCUGUAAAUCAUAGUUGCUUUCUUUUUAUUUGCUUCUUGGCCAUGUAAUUACCCAGUACUUUAUUUUGAGUAAUAUAUAACAGUAGGAGACUCCCGUUGUUUUCAAGGUUCAAAAAAAUAAUAAUUCCCGCAAAAUAUCAAGAAUGUUGUUUUUAGAUUGAUUCCCAUGAUAUUUGAGUAAGUAUAAUAAAAACUUCUUAGUUAGCUUAUAUACACAUCUUGCACAAGCAACGUGUAACGGAGCUUCAUGUCGAAGGACUUAAAAUGUGCAACGGAAAAUACUCAUGGUGUUAACCGGACGAACUAAUUCUUUACCAUUCCACCAGAGCAUAAAAAAACAUAAUAGCCAGACACAUCCCUGCAUUUCCUAAAUUAGUACUUCCUCCGUAAACUAAUAUAUGAGCGUUUAGAACACUAUUUUGGUGAUCUAAACGUUCUUAUAUUAGUUUACAGAGGGAGUAUUAUUUUAAAUAUAGUGAUAACAAAAAUAAAUGCUGGUACUUUGAAUGUCGAAGGUUUUGUAGUACAUUUCUUGGAACGUUACAAAAUUUCUGUGGUUUCCAGUUUUUCUCCUCGCUCACUCACUCACCCACUCACUCAGUCGCCUCUUCACGCUCAUUCCCCUCGCUCACCCACUCCACCAAAUCCCUAGCCCGCGGCGGCGACGCACCUCCCCCUCACUCGCGUCGGCGACUCAACCGCGUCGCCGCCCUUCUCCUCAGGCGUCACCGCCGGGCCUUCUCGUCUGCGUCGCCUCUCCCUCUCACCCGCAUCCUCUGCGCCACAGUCGAGCCAAAGUUGGAUAUUUUAGCGAGGUCGAGUAGGAGCGUGAGAAGCGCGGGCACGGCGGCCUUGUCCUGCUCGAGGAAGGCGGCGACGGAUGCUAGCGCUCCUCGCCGCCAUCGACCUGCAAGGAGGAGCGCCGUGUUGGACGCUGCCAUCUCCGACGCUGCUGGUACUCCUCCGCCGCUACGAGUGCCCCGUCACCUGCGCCCAGGAAAGCCGCGAAGUCGAGCUCCCCAUGAUUGACCUACAAGGUUAUCAUCCUUAAUUUUCCCCACACCUUUCCAAUCUCUGGAGCCUAGGAUUCGGGGAAAGGCAAGGAGAGAUUCUGGAGCUGAUUGUGAUUGUGAUUGUUGAUGUGGAUGGAAUAUGGGUGUAGAUGUACUGUGGUCAAGAACUGCUCUCUGCCGCGGGAGUAGAUUGGAAAGGCUGCUGCUGCUCCUGGACAAUGCGGCUGCUGCUGCCACUACCACUCGUCGAUUCGAGCAUGGUAAAGACCACUCGGUUGCACUACUCCAUUUGUACUACAGGAGUACUUUCAGUACUGUAGGAGUACUUGUAUUGUUUCUUAAGAGUAUUUGCUUGGAGUAAAUGUUGUAGUUUAACUGAAAUCAACAUUUCUGAAAAUCAUGUUUAUCAAUGGGUUGUAAGUACUGAAAUCAACAUCUCUGAAAUCAUGUUUGUCAUGCUGUAGUAUUCUUUUUGUCAGGAUUUUAGUACUCUUGCUUGGCUCAAACCAAACUGAUUCUGCUGUAGUAUUCUUUUUAUCAUGCUGGAGAACUUUGAUUGAUCUAGUGAGCUCAAACCAUACUGAUUUUUAGAGUAUACUCCAUGUUACUUCCAUUUCAGAGCACAUUCUUGGAGUGGAUCUGCAUUUCAGAAAGUUAACAAGUGGGAGUACAUGGAGUACCACAUUUUAAGUCGAGGAGAAGAUGGUGCCUGCUCCGUGAUGAUGCCACCAGCACCUACGACUUCCUCGACCACCACCACCAUGAUGACGACUUCCUCGAAUGUGGUGAGUACUCCUCCAAUGCUUGUACUCUUAUCAAUGUUUACUGCUGUAAUCAUGGAGUAGUUAGCUGCUGUUAUCAUGGCAGGAGUAAUGCACCAUUAGUUGGUAAGAAAUAAUGUCAGUAUGAAACCUCUCGACAGUAACUGUUUUUUUGUGAGGAACAGUACAUGGUUUCAACUUUAUUUGCCCCAUUCCAUGUUCUGAAAUCAUUACCAAAUCAUACGAAGCAUGAUAACAAUGUUCAAGCUGAUUUGGUGAAUCCGUAGAUUACAUCUUACUGUGUGUUCCCAAAAUAUUCAGCAUUGCAAAACAAAGAAAUAUUAAAUACAAGUUUCACUAUGGAUGAUAGUGUGAAACAAUAUAUCAUAUUUUCUUUUUCCUGGGAGCAUCAUGGACCAACUUGUCAAUGUAACCUCGGUUGUAUACUACAUCUACAUCCCUGCCAAUGAACAUGUGCACUAUUUAACUAUCUAUGCAUCUACAUCUCUAUGAAGAUACAUAUACAACUGCAUCUUGGAUGAAUACUAUUGUCAGUUUACUCGCAUGAGCCUUUCAAGGAAAGUAGUCUCUCAGUUCUAGUGUACCUAGAUGUACGAUGAAACGAACUUGUGAACCAAAGCAAUUUGAGUUGACAACCGGACAGAGGAAGCGGGCAAGAGAUGAUUUAUUUAUGGGCGAUGAUGAUUUGCUACAAAUACAUAUACUGCUACCUUCCAUGCAUGUCAGCAUCUGAUGCUACCGCUUGAUUCCCUGAAGAUUGAAGAACCACCCCCUGCCAUUAACAAAUCAUUUCAUAUAAACUACUGUACCUAGCAAUGUAAAAAAUACAAAAAGGAUAAAAUCACUAACCUGUCAUAGAAAAAAUGGCACACUCCUGGCCGUCCUGCAUGUUUUGGCUUCAAUUUCCCUCGCCUUGCAUGUCACUGAGUCCUUAAGAACACAUUGAUAAUUAUAAUUAAGAACUUCGCCUACAACAAAACAGAACCAGCAGAAACUCAUCGCUUUCAUUGUCUUCAAGACCCUCAUUGUCCUCUGAUAAUAUAGUUUGAGAGAAGUCCAUAUUACCCCUCGAACUUGUCUUUGGCUUCACUUUACAAACCUCAGAAUUGUGUUCGUUCAAGUUUCAUCCUUCAACUUUAUAAACCGUUCAUAAUUAUAAGGGGUCUGCUUCAGUAUACCCACCUUAAGUGAGUCAAUGGUGGAGAUUAAAACUUACCCCUAAGGCACAUAGGACUUGACGGUCAAUUUAAGUACUAACUGCUUUAUUAAUCGAUGUAUGUAUGGCCCACAUAGACAUUGUACUUUUAACUUAAACAUAACAUAGACUUAGGUACUUACUUAUCGUCGAAAAAUCUAAUUUAUGAAGGGUAGGAUUUUAGUAUUAUAUAUGAAUGACUCUGCUCGUUAUUCUCUCUCGCCUCACACAUGCCCCCUUCCAGACCAUAUCGCCACCGUCUCAUCAAACCACACCAAGAAGCCGACGUCCCAAUCUACUAACACAUCAAAUCCCACACCAGCACUCACCUCAGUACGACCCAUGACAAAGGACAUGCUCCAUGGCAAGGUAGGACUCCUAGCAGGCUACAACAUGGAGCCGACAAAGAGAGAGAUGAUGACUUGUAGGAGAUGCUCGUUGGCGCAGACCAAGCGAACAACCUGACAUGCAUCUGUGCAU
rnacentral:lncRNA from 1 species